rnacentral:rRNA from 1 species
GACGAACGCUGGCGGCGUGCUUAACACAUGCAAGUCGAACGGUGACGAGGAGCUUGCUCCUCUGAUCAGUGGCGAACGGGUGAGUAACACGUGAGCAACCUGCCCCAGACUCUAGGAUAACAGUUGGAAACAGCUGCUAAUACCGGAUACGAGACGGAGAGGCAUCUCUACCGUCUGGAAAGUUUUUCGGUCUGGGAUGGACUCGCGGCCUAUCAGCUAGUUGGUGAGGUAAUGGCUCACCAAGGCGACGACGGGUAGCCGGCCUGAGAGGGCGACCGGCCACACUGGGACUGAGACACGGCCCAGACUCCUACGGGAGGCAGCAGUGGGGAAUAUUGCACAAUGGGCGAAAGCCUGAUGCAGCGACGCCGCGUGAGGGAUGACGGCCUUCGGGUUGUAAACCUCUUUCAGCAGGGAAGAAGCGAAAGUGACGGUACCUGCAGAAGAAGCACCGGCUAACUACGUG